rnacentral:piRNA from 1 species
UGAUACAGGUCCUCCGUAAGCAUGC